UACGUAUGGGGCAAGCGUUAUCCGGAUUUACUGGGUGUAAAGGGAGCGUAGGCGGCGGGGCAAGCCUGAUGUGAAAGCCCGGGGCUCAACCCCGGGACUGCAUUGGGAACUGCCCUGCUGGAGUGCCGGAGGGGCAGGCGGAAUUCCUAGUGUAGCGGUGAAAUGCGUAGAUAUUAGGAGGGACACCAGUGGCGAAGGCGGCCUGCUGGACGGUGACUGACGCUGAGGCUCGAAAGCGUGGGGAGCAAACAGG
rnacentral:rRNA from 1 species